AUGCGCGGGGUCCGGGAAAGAGCUGGACCACAAGGAUCUAUUGUAUGCAGCCUUACCCUUGCAUUUCUGCAAGAGACUGUUCCACUGCUCGAACCGUGACCUCCUGGUCACAUGACAGCAACUUUACCAGUUACGCCAAGCAGGGGCGGAACUACAGGGGUGCAAGGAGUGUCAAUCGAACCCCCUUCGUCGGAAAAUUGCACUAUAUAUAUGGAGUCAAUUUUUUAUUCAUGUAUAAAUAUUUAUGUUGCAUCCCCUUAACAUAAUGGAGAACUUAGCUCAGCGGCUGAGGCGCCUACUAUUGAACCCAUGGUUGCGGGUUCGAUUAUCUGUAACAACACUUUUUAACCCUUUUUCAUCCAGUCUCUUUUUCUUGAACCCCCUUAUCAAAUGUUCUGGCUCCGCCCCUGACGCCAAGGCUCCCUUCAAUGGAAAGCAAGAUAGUGAAUGAAUAUAUUUUAUCUGUUUAUAUAGUAGUGUUCAAAAAUCAAAAGUUAAUGGUUACGAAUCCUUUCAAAUUCUGUAAUAAGUAUUGACUGCAUAAACUUGUAACUGAAAGGAUAGGGAAAAGGUAUAACUGAAAUUUUAUGCAAUAAAGGAAUUAAAGGAGGAGAGGAAAUUGAUAGGAAGAAGAGAAAGAAAUUACGAAAGAAACAGUAAUGGUUCUUAAUAUGAUUACGUUUACCCAAUACUAAUUCCAACGUAUGUUUGAUGUGAAAGCUGAAUAUGAGUAAAAAUUAAACCCUAGAGCCUCUUAAUCAUGCAUCAUUUACUAAAUGUUUUUCUUUAUUUUUUUGGGAAAAAGUCAUUUUCGUAAUCUAACUUUUAACUUGGGAGCUUUCCACUUUUAAUAAUAUAUGAUUUGUUCAGACAAAAAUGAUACUACGGCUCUUCGCGACCUUAUUCGACUUUUGGCCAUUGGUUUGGUCCUAUCAUUAUAUGCCUCCUUUGUUUUGUUCUACUAUUGAAGUUUUUUUGUUUUUUGUUUUUUUUCAUUUGAUGUUCGGUAUUCGAAUCGGGAUCCUGACAAAUUCUAAUUUGCGCUGCGUAAAGUCCAUUUAAAGAAAAAUAUUUUCUAAUAAAUUCUUUUUAGAAAUAGGUCAACAGCCUUUUUGUAUAAGAAAUAGUGUUGGAGAUUUGAUCAGUGCUAGGCAGGGGCGGAUUUAGAGGCUGCCCAGGGUGUUCACCCGAACACCCUCGGCGAAAAAUUACAGUGUAUGUAUAGGGUAGAUUUUUUGUAUUUAUGUACAUAUAUUAACUUCUGAACAUCCUAAACAAAUGCAAAAGGUUAGCUCAAGUGGUUCAAGGUGUUCAAAUUGAAUCUAGCAUCCUAGGUUUGAUUCCCAGUAACAACAUUAUUUUUUAUAUUUAGCUUUUGUUGUUUUUUCCGAACCCCCUGAGUCAAAAUCCUAGAUUCGCCACUGGUGCUAGGGGAAGAAGAUUACAAGACACUACUAACAUUAUUGCAGAGCUUAUAGCUAUAAAAGAUUGUCUGAAAUUUUGUCUGGAGAAUCAUCUGAUUCCAGUUGUAGUUGAACAAAUUCAUUAGCUAUGAGAAACAUGUUGGAAGGAGAAUGGAAGGUUCCUUGGUGUGUGACAUUGGAAGUUAAUGCAAUUCAAGCCAUGAGGGAGGGUUAUGAUGUACAAGUUGUGCAUGUGCUCAGAGAAGGGAAUACUCUGGCUGAUUAUUUCACUAACCUGAUUUUUUAUUUGCAGGCACAAUUGAAUUCAAUUCAUUUCAGGAGGUUCCAUUAACAGGGAAGAAGAUCAUCAACCCGGACAAGAGUCAAACACCUCACAUGAGAACAACGACCAUGAGAAGAGAAGGACAGGACUGAGUCACAUCAAAUUACAUGUAACAAGUCUGAGGAUUGAGAAUACAACUUGCGUGCUCUAUGGAUGCAUUUCAGUGACAGAUGGAUUCAACAUUAGCUUAAUUUGAUGGUGGUAUUAGCAUGCUCUAUCCACGUGGCCUUUCUUCAACAGCCUCAUCGGCGUCAACUUUAAAAUUUCUCCGUCGCCGCCGGAAACGUUUCAUCCUCAUCGGGAAACGCCGUUUCAAUGGAGGUCUCAUGUGGACGGUGUCACGAAGGAAUUUGUUGACGGAGGAAUCGAGUUUGGCGGCAUCGGCUAUGGCCAUUAAUGCUUGUAGAAACAAGAGAAAGAGGAAUGGGGGUUAUAGCUGAGGCAAUUGGAAGGUUUUCGGAGAUAUAUCAAAGAGUAGACAAGGCAAAAACAGAGACCAAUGGUGGACUUGCAAUUUGCUGAAGAUUUGGAGAUACAACAGAGAAGGAAACUGAUUAUGGAGUCACAAGUGCAUCUUAAAUGCUCGGACUUAGAUUGCAAUCCAGUCCACACGAGUGCUUGUGCAUGUAUCCUGUGUUGCGCGGACUCGACCCUUCAAAAGUAGUACAUUUUUGGAGGAUAUGACACGGGCUGAAAACUCUAUUUUCCUUGUCUUGGAGUUUUGUGCUGGCGGGGAUCGGGCUUCUUAUAUUCGGAAUCAUGGCAGAGUUCAAGAAUGUGUAGCUAGAAAAUUUAUGAGACAGAUUGGAGCUGGCCUAGAGGUACUAAGCAUGCACCAAAUCGUCCACCGUGACUUGAAGCCGGAGCAAAAAGUUUCUCUUUCUGGAUGUUGAGCACGAAAAUUCAGCAUUUUGCAGCAUCGUCACUUCAAUUUGGCUAGAGGAGCUUGGAGUGAGCUAGAGGAGUGCUUUUCAUAUCGGUUUUCUGCAUAUGGACUUAUUUUAUGCCUUGAAAGGAUGACAAAUAACCUUCUUUAAAAAAAAAGGAUUACAGAUGAUUCUACCCCAAUUGUCUCUCCCUACUUUUAUGGGACUCUGUCAGACACUGCUAUGGACUAAGAGAGAGAAGGUAGUCUAUCCAAGGGGUGGAAGCCACUUCUUUUAUCAUAUGUUCGCAUUUCUUUCAUCAUAGACAGUUUCUCCAUGAGUUUAAGGGGUUCAUGUUGCUAGGGAAAUCAAUUCAGCGAUACUGAUUCCAACCUUUAAAAGGUACUCCUCCGUCUCAAUUUAUGUGAAGGUGUUUGACCGGGCAAAAGUUUAAGAAUGAAAAAGAUAAAGAUUUUUAAACUUGUGGUCUAAAACAAGCCUUAGCUAUCUGUGAGGCUAAAUUAUUUCAGUAGGGUAAAAUGAGAUGUUUAAAGUUAAAUUGUUAUUAAACAUAGAAAGGUGUCCUUUUUUUGGGAUUGAUCAAGAAGGAAAGAAUGUCACAUAUAUUGGGACAUAGGAGUAGUUGUUGUCUUCUAAAACUUUCAACAGUUGCAAGUUGCGGAGGGACAUCUUUAUGGAUAGAUGGAUGAGAUCACGUCUUAAAAGAUCAAUAUUCCAAUAAUAUUAUGUAUCACUGUUUUUGCAACUUGGUGUAAACUGGUACUUGUAACAAAACCAAAGAAGUUAGUGCUGGCAGAAAGAAUUGAUUUCUAGGAAAAUAGAAGCUGCAGAAGGUUCAACUUUACCUGUAAGCCAAACUAACUUUUUCUUGUCUCGAGACUUGAAGAUACUUAGGCGCCCGUUUUCAUGUCCUGCCACCUUUAGUGGGAGAAGUAUGAACAUUUAUCUAGUGCAUUUAUUUUCCUCAAUCCAUGUUCCAUUGACCUUAUUUGUUCAUGUAUCUAUAGGAAAAGCACGGAUGCAUUUGCAAGAUGAGAACGAUAAAAUUGUGCAAUCUGUUAUGUUACCUUUCUCAAAAUUGUACAAUCUGUCUUGUCAAAAGAAAAUGGCUUCAAUUUUGGUAGUGUAACAUUAUAUAGCAUUACCUUUCAUCCAAUUUUUCAUUGUACAUUAGAUUGUUAAUUAUUAUGUUAUUCGGUGAGAAAUUGCACUUCUCAUCUAACUAUUAACAAGUAAUAGGAAAUACUUAGUUCUUUUGGACUGAACUCGUUUUGCAUUUUCUUAGCCCUCUGCUAGUUCACCUCCUUUUCGUGACCAUUGUAUUUGUCACAGUGGUAUUUUACCAUAUCUGGAGCUGUCAAAUAUGGCCAAUUGGGGAAGAAUCUGGAACUCUAUGAUGACUUCUAAUUCUAGUAUAUUUGGGUUCUAG